UAUAUAUAUAUAUAUAUAUAUAUAUAUAUAUAUAUAUAUAUAUAUGUAUACAGGUAUACGUAUCUGAGAGAGAAAAAGAGAGAGAGAAAGAGAGACAGACAGACAGAAAAAGGUUGGUUGGUACUCCGCGUAUUUCAUAGGAGACUGCACAGAACCCAUCAAUUUUCUCUAAGUCCAUUAACUUUCUACAGGCAUUACCGUCUGCCGUAGACUUUCAUCCAUGGACGAAUAAUAACCGAUAUUCUCAUAUCGGAAUUCUCUUUCCCCGUUUAUUUUUAUUCUUUUUCUUUUUAAAAAAUUUUUUUCAUUCCGUUUCGAUAAUUUUUCUUUCUUUCUCGAUGUUCAAUUCGUAUCAAAGUUCUCGGACAUAGUAGUUGCAUGUUUGUUUUUAUUAUUGCUUCUCGUUCACAAGGAGGGAUAGAAUAAACUGCGGGAUGCGUUCGCUCGAUUUCCCUAUUUUUCUUCAUAGUUCUCGAUGGGUGUACAGGACGAGGAUAGUACGAAAGCGAGUUGUUUUCCGUGCAGGCACAUCCUAAUCAAAUCUGCUUUUAUUGUCGCUCUAUUCUGUUCGUUUUUCAAACUACGAUAAAAGAUCUCUCGGCCGGUUUUGCAUGUAUUCUAUGUAUCGUAGAUACUCUUUUUUUCAUUUCGUGAAUGCUCUCUCCCUCAUUCCUUCCCUUACCUUUUUCCAUUGGUUUGGAAAUUAAAACUUCUUUGUUUUUUCCCUCUUUUUCCUUCUUUCUUUUUUUCUUUCCUUUUUGUUUUUUAUUUUUUGUUUUUUUUUUUUGAAACAUUUACGACGCUAGGAACCACGAGAAAUUAGAAAAGAGGAUUAAAGUGUCGGUGGAUGAGCAAGUAUUUUUUAUCCCUGACAAAUACAAGGUGACGAUUUAACAGGGAGAAAAAGAGAGUAUGUAUCAUUAUUUCAUUCAACUUUCUGUUUCUCUUUCUCUUUCUCUGUUUUUCUCUUUUUCUCGAAAUUUCAAUUUUUUAUGAAACAUUUUUUAUUCUGCAAUAUCUCGCGAUGCAAGAAAUAAUAAUAGAAAUUUCGUUAAGUUAACCGUGCAAAGGAAUAGAGCAGUCUACGUAAUAGGACGUUAGCAUGAUCAUGCUUAUAGUCGAUUCAUUUUCAAGACUGUAGCAGCGUACUUUAGCACUUGUUCGUGGAGAAAUUUUCGAGAAAGGGAGGGAAAAGUGGUCUUACGAAACAGGCUCAAAGUGUCUUCAAAUUUCACUUGCAUUCUCUCUUGGGCCAUGGUGAGACUUCUUAAGUAUGGGAGAGGGAGUGGAGGAACUCUUCGCGUAGGGGCAAUGCCGGAAUUGAAUUUCAGAGGUACCUAAUCGCCAGCAGUUUGUUCAGGCAGCGAUAGGCGUGACUAUUAUUUCAGCAAUUACGAGGCUUCUCGCUUUGCCCUUAACGAACACCUUCUCUUAAGUCCUUCGUCUUUCUUCUUCUCCUUCUUCUUAUUCGUCUUUUCAUUAUCUUCUUCACCUGUAUGAUGAAAGUGAAAAAGAAAAAGUAGUAACUGAAAUUACUCAAAGACUUUAUCUUUGAGUCUUUCUUUCUCUCUUUUUCUUCCCUUUUACUUUAUUUCUUUCUCUCUUUCCUUUUGCUUUUUUUCUCUUUCUCUUGCUCUCUCUUUCUCUUUUUUCUGUCACUACGUAUCGUUCUCACGUUUGGAUGACAAUGCAUUACGAAUUCAAUGGACGAUCAUAAUGAAGUCACUUCCACUUGUUCUCCUUUCUCAAAGAAAUUUUUAUAGAAAAAGGUAGAUACAUAGAUACAUAGAUAAAUAGACAGGCAGAUAGAUAGAUAGAUAAAUAGAUAGAUAGAGAAUGAUCGUCAAUUACAAGCGUCCAAAUUUGCGAAAUUAAAUUAUAAUUCAUUUUCAUUCGUCCGUUCCAAUUUCCAAGCUAGUGCGAUGUACAGUGAAUUCGUAAAAAAAAAGAAAAUGUCCUUGCUUAUGAUGUUAACGAAAGAACUUCGAACUCUCCUUAAAAGUUUUUCCGUUCGUCGCGUCUUAACGUCCAACUCGUUGUUAAGAGAAAAUUUGUUAGAAACGUGCCCGAUUCACAGAUCCCGUCCUCUUUCUUUUCCUCUAGCUUCUUCACCGUUAAAACGAAAUGAUUUCACCCUUCGGAGUUAAUCGUCGGAAAAUGUGAAAUAUGACAAACGAUGUUAAGGUGGAAUAGCACUCGUCUUCCGAUUUAAUAAACGGCCGUUGCUCCAGACAAAUUACAACCGCAAUUUCGUGGCUAGUAGCGUACACCACAAUUAAAUUAUUGUUGUAAUUUCCAGGACAGUCAUCUGCAAGCGUGCUCGAGCGUCCGUAACGUCUGUGAACACCGUCGCAGCGAUGUCUCAAUUUAAAUAGUUUCUCUCUCUCUCUCUUUUUCUCUCUGUCUUUCUCUUACCCUGAUAAAUUCUCAAUCAUGUGGCAUAUGUACAUGUAUACACGUAUACGUAGUAUUACAAGUUUCUCCAAAAUUUCAAUGGAAGGUUAGAUGUUCGUUGAGCGAGUAGAAAGAACGGUAUCACAUAAGCAACGUGCAUAAAGUAGGCUUGGAAUUUCGUUAAAGCCAUCCAGAGCGUGCUCCGGUCUCUCGAAAUGGGCGUCGUUCUGGCGAUUUCAUAUAUAGGACAGUCGUGUAUUACACACAACUUAGACGUAGUAUAUACUAUAUAUACAUAUGUGUGUGUGUGUAUAUGUAUAUAUAGAUAUAGAUAUAUAGUAUAGAUAUACAUAGGUUGAGAGCAUAGGAGGAUGGAGAACGAGUGGUCGGAGGAUCGAGCCAGCUGGUUCUAGGAUUGGCAGUACUCCAAGAGAGCAAAAAUCGUCGAUGCCUAUAUAUAUACACACACCUACACACGUAUAUAUCUUUCUGUCUUUCUGGAAAUCAGUUAUUUUUAGAAAGAAAAAGAAAACGGAAGAGAUAGCUUGUUAAAGGAUAUUGGUUUUAGUUGCGUUUUCUAUGUUGAUUCAAAGUGGAUACAUUAUAAAGUCAAAGAAUGUUCGAUAAAGAAGGAAGAAAGGGAGGAAGGAAGGAAGGAAGGAAGGAAGAAAGGAAGGAAGGAAGGUAGGAAGGAAGGAAGGAAGGAAGGAAGGAAGGAAGGAAGGAAGGAAGGAAGGAAGGAAGGAAGAUAUGUCUCACCUGUUCGACCGCCUUGAAGACUCGGAUGAGAUUCAGUCCAGCGAGUUUCUGGAUAUCUCUCUCUGACCACCCGCGCACUAACAAUUCCGCGAAUAACUCUGGGUAUUUGCUCACGUCUUCGAGACCUGCCGGUGUCCUGAAACAGACAGUUUGAAAUUGGCUUAGAUGAGAUCGGCUAAAGUUGUUAUAUACUUUUAAUGAAGCUCCAUUCAAAUGAUAUUUUGAUGACUUUGGAGAAUAUGAGAAUGUUUUUUUGGGAAAAAAAUCGAAAUAAAAGAAAAAGAUAAUUCGGA